rnacentral:lncRNA from 1 species
CUGGAGCAAGAAGUUGUGGCUGCCACUGGCUUGUGUUUAUGAUUAUGUCUGCACUAUUCGAGAGGAAAUAAAUGCCGUGGAAAAUGGAACUCGGCAAUAUUUCCUUGUGAGAUUUGGGGGUUCCUGUGCCACUGCCACUGCCGCCACCACCACCACCACCACCACCACCACCUCAGUACAGCUCCAGGGUGGGAGCCACCCUUAGGGGAGGACCAGGAGAAAAAAGAGAAAAAAAGAAAAAAGCGAAAUCUAUGUGAAUCUGUAUUGAUAUAAUUAAAUGAUUACGUAAAUAAAUAAAUGGAGGUGAAG